GAACGCACAUUGCGCCCCUUGGUAUUCCGGGGGGCAUGCCUGUUCGAGCGUCAUUAUAACCCCUCAAGCUCAGCUUGGUGUUGGGGCCUGCCAACUGGCAGCCCUUAAAAUCAGUGGCGGCGCCAUCUGGCUCUAAGCGUAGUAAUUUCUCUCGCUAUAGGGUCCUGAUGGAUGCUUGCCAACAACCCCCAAUUUUCUAUGGUUGACCUCGGAUCAGGUAGGGAUACCCGCUGAACUUAAG
rnacentral:misc_RNA from 1 species